rnacentral:misc_RNA from 1 species
AACGCAUCUUGCGCUCCUUGGUAUUCCGAGGAGCAUGCCUGUUUGAGUGUCAUGAAACUCUAUCAACCACCGUUCUUCUUUAUUGAUCAACUUUGGCUUGGACUUGGGCGCUUUGUUGGUGUUUCCUUUGUAAAAAAACGGAAAGAUCGACUCGCCUUAAAUGGAUUAGUGGUCUAGUCGCCUUUGCUGGUUAACUUGGUCUUGACAUGAUAAGAAAUUGUCGUCGGGUACUAAUGUUUUUGUCUUGCCUAGCAAGAGUCAGUGAAUGUGCGCGAUCUGCUUCUAACGCUGUGUUUGGUUAAACAAACCCAAAUUUUAUGAUCGGGCCUCAAAUCAGGUAGGACUACCCGCUGAACUUAA